rnacentral:rRNA from 1 species
UACGUAGGGUGCAAGCGUUGUCCGGAUUUAUUGGGUUUAAAGGGUGCGCAGGCGGCUGUUUAAGUUAGUGGUGAAAGCGUCCUGCUUAACGGGAUACUCGCCAUUAAUACUGAACAGCUUGAGUAUACGUGAGGAAGUUGGAAUGCGUGGUGUAGCGGUGAAAUGCUUAGAUAUCACGCAGAACACCGAUUGCGAAGGCAGACUUCUGGCGUAAAACUGACGCUCAUGCACGAAAGUGUGGGGAUCAAACAGG